rnacentral:rRNA from 1 species
GAGUUUGAUUCUGGCUCAGAACGAACGCUGGCGGCAGGCCUAACACAUGCAAGUCGAGCGCACCUUCGGGUGAGCGGCGGACGGGUGAGUAACGCGUGGGAAUAUGCCCUUUUCUACGGAAUAGCCUCGGGAAACUGAGAGUAAUACCGUAUACGCCCUUCGGGGGAAAGAUUUAUCGGAAAAGGAUUAGCCCGCGUUGGAUUAGGUAGUUGGUGGGGUAAUGGCCUACCAAGCCGACGAUCCGUAGCUGGUCUGAGAGGAUGAUCAGCCACACUGGGACUGAGACACGGCCCAGACUCCUACGGGAGGCAGCAGUGGGGAAUAUUGGACAAUGGGGGCAACCCUGAUCCAGCAAUGCCGCGUGUGUGAAGAAGGCCCUAGGGUUGUAAAGCACUUUCGCCCGUGAAGAUGAUGACGGUAACGGGAGAAGAAGCUCCGGCUAACUCCGUGCCAGCAGCCGCGGUAAUACGGAGGGGGCGAGCGUUGUUCGGAAUUACUGGGCGUAAAGCGCACGUAGGCGGCGCGUCGAGUUAGAGGUGAAAGGCCUGGGCUUAACCUGGGAACGGCCUUUAAUACUGGCGUGCUGGAGUCCGGGAGGGGUGGCGGAAUU